GGCUCGAACCCACAAACUGUGAGAUCAUUACCUGAGCCGAUGUCGUUCGCCCAACCGACUGAGCCACCCAGGUGCCCCUAUCGUGACAUAUUUUAAGUUAGUCAGGAAGCUUCUCGAUAUAAAACUUCUGUGCAUAGACUUUUGUGAGAGUAUCAUUUGUUCUUAAAUGCAAAGUAACUUUAUGUAGGAUUAAAUGUUAAGCUUUCAAAUACGCUUCACUAAAUUAGAGUGUAAUUAACUGCUUUAGAAGCUUUACUGGAAUAUGUCCUAAUGGGCAUUUUCUUCCCCCCAAAGCCCAUUUAUCUAUACUGAAAAUCUGUUGUAAUAGGUAGCCCUGCUCUAUGAUGACAUCCACAGUAUUUUAGGGAAGCCUUUCAACAGGUACACUAUUUAAGCCAGUCACUCUGAUACUGUGCAGUUUCAAAAGACUUUGAAUUUUGGAACUAUAGUUCCAUCUGACUCCAUCUUUGGCCCUCCAUCUUGUUCUGGCCUGUUCAGUGACUUCCUCUACGUGUUCCAUGCCCUGUGGAAAUUAAGGUAUAACCUGCCUGGAAUGUGGGAAGGCUUGUUCGGAGUUUGAUCGUUUCUAAAGUGGCACACAGAAGGCUCCACUUUAGAUAACCAGCAGAGAGCCUCUGGUGCACACAGAUGGUACCACUUUAGUUAACUACCCUGUGACCGCCCCACCAUGCCCCUUGCUCUAUAAAAACUCGGGAUUAAGGGCUGGACUCGGUGGAGAAUAGGGGUAGAAGAUAGCUCUGCAGUUACAGUGAGUCAUUUUCUGCCUGAUUCCCCACUGUCGGAUGAGAAGUUUAGAAACUUGGAGGUACCAAAAGGCAGAGGUGCUACAUAUGGAAAAGAUGGCCUAAUGUGGUGAGAAGGUCUGAGUUCUGUGUUCCGGUCUCAUGUCAGGAUGCUCUGUCACUGAUGAUGUGGACUUAGCAUUACGCAGGGAAUACAGGUGGCUCAUAGCCGAGGCACUGGAAGCCCAAAGAAGCAACAUCAAAUACUACAUCCCACAGAUUUUCAUGGCAGAAGCAGUUCCAGAUCUCGAGCAGCACAAGAAGUGGCACUCUGGAAGGAAACAGGACAUUAUGAAAAGGACCCACUGACAGUACAGAUAACAACUUGGAGAAAUUCCAGGGGCUACUGUGAGCUCAUUCAUGCACCUCAUCUGUUUUACCUUUCAAGCAUUCUUCUGCUCGAUA